AACGCGAAGAACCUUACCUGGGCUUGACAUGCAGGGCAAAGCCGGUGAAAGCCGGCGCUCUACGGAGCCUGCACAGGUGGUGCAUGGCUGUCGUCAGCUCGUGCCGUGAGGUGUUGCCUUAAGUGGCGCAACGAGCACAACCCUUGUCCCUAGUUGCCAGCGGGUAGAGCCGGGAACUCUAGGGAGACUGCCGGUGCCAAACCGGAGGAAGGUGGGGAUGACGUCAAGUCAUCAUGCCCCUUAUGUCCAGGGCUGCACGCAUGCUACAAUGCGCGGUACAAAGGGCUGCGAUCCCGUAAGGGGGAGCGAAUCCCAAAAAGCCGCGCUCAGUUCGGAUCGGGGUCUGCAACCCGACCCCGUGAAGUCGGAGUCGCUAGUAAUCGCAGAUCAGCAAUGCUGCGGUGAAUACGUUCCCGGGCCUUGUACACACCG
rnacentral:rRNA from 1 species